UCAACAAUGAUUAUGGUUGAUUUGUAUCAGUCAUUUAAUGAGCAGAAAUCAUGAAAAAUAAUGCCUGUGUUUGCCUCUACAUGAGAUGACUUUCAAAGGUGCAAACGCUGAGAGAUGUGUUCAGUCCUUGAAGGCUGUGUAUAUUAAUGCACAAAAGGAAAGAGACAACAUUCAGGAAUAUGACCCUUAGAUGCUAUUCCAGAAACAGCAGCUCCAGCAUAAAUUGAAGAUUUUGUAUAUAAUAGAAGAUGCUAGAAGAGGCUGGCAAAAAAAGACCCCAAAUCAAGACAUUUUUCCUAUGUCGUAAGGAAGAUGUCACUGUAAGUGUUUGAAAAGGAAUUGGCCAGCUGUUGACAGAAUUCAAUAGAAUAAUAAAUAAUUAAAGUACAUAAGUUUUCUUUGGUUU
rnacentral:lncRNA from 1 species